rnacentral:rRNA from 2 species
UUAAGGGUGCAGGGCGGAUGCCUUGGCACUAGGAGCCGAUGAAGGACGUGAUAAGCUGCGAUAAGCUUCGGGGAGUUGCACGUAAACUUUGAUCCGAAGAUUUCCGAAUGAGGAAACUCACUUAGAGUAAUGUCUAAGUAUCAUUAAGUGAAUACAUAGCUUAAUGAGGGGAACUCAGGGAACUGAAACAUCUAAGUACCUGAAGGAAGAGAAAGAAAUUCGAUUCCGUAAGUAGCGGCGAGCGAACGCGGAUUAGCCCAAACCAAUAAAGUUUUCUUUAUUGGGGUUGCGGACAUAUCAUAACGAAGAGGUAUCGUAAUUGAAGAGGUUUGGAAAGACCCACCACAGAAGGUAAUAGUCCUGUAUGUUAAACGAGAAGACUUCAGAUAUGAUCCAGAGUACCACGGGACACGUGAAACCCUGUGGGAAGCAGGAGGGACCACCCUCCAAGGCUAAAUACUACCUAGUGACCGAUAGCGUAUAGUACCGUGAGGGAAAGGUGAAAAGAACCCCGGGAGGGGAGUGAAAUAGAACCUGAAACCCUGCACUUACAAGCUGUGGAAGCACAUUUCUUGUGUGACCGCGUACUUUUUGUAGAACGGGCCAACGAGUUACGUUAAGUAGCAAGGUUAAGCACUUAAGGUGUGGAGCCGUAGCGAAAGCGAGUUUUAACUGAGCGUUCAGUUACUUGACGUAGACCCGAAACCGGGCGACCUACCCAUGAGCAGGAUGAAGCGAAAGUAAAAUUUCGUGGAGGUCCGAACCCACGAGCGUUGAAAAGCUCGGGGAUGACUUGUGGGUAGCGGUGAAAUUCCAAUCGAGCCCGGAGAUAGCUGGUUCUCCCCGAAAUAGCUUUAGGGCUAGCCUCAAGGUGAGAGAUACGGAGGUAGAGCACUGAAUGUCCUAGGGGGUAUUGCACCUACCGAAGACUAUCAAACUCCGAAUGCCGUCAUCUUAUACUUGGGAGUCAGACUGUGGGUGAUAAGAUUCAUAGUCGAAAGGGCAACAGCCCAGAUCGUCAGCUAAGGUCCCUAAAUGUAAGUUAAGUGGUAAAGGAUGUGGGAUUGCACAGACAACCAGGAUGUUGGCUUAGAAGCAGCCACUCAUUCAAAGAGUGCGUAAUAGCUCACUGGUCGAGUGAUCCUGCGCCGAAGAUUUCCGGGGCUAAAACUUACUACCGAAGCUACGGCAUCAGUAAUGAUGGGUAGGGGAGCUUCCCAUACGGGUUGAAGCAUGACCGUAAGGACAUGUGGACAGUAUGGGAGUGAGAAUGUUGGCAUGAGUAGCGAGAUGUGGGUGAGAAUCCCACAGGCCGUAAACCCAAGGUUUCCAGGGGAAGGUUCGUCCGCCCUGGGUUAGUCGGGACCUAAGCUGAGGCCGAAAGGCGUAGGUGAUGGACAACAGGUUGAUAUUCCUGUACUACCGAUAACCGUUUGAGAGAAGGGAUGACACAGUAGGAUAAGCUAAGCACACUGUUGGUUAUGUGUGCCCAAGCAUUGAGGCAGUCAAAGUAGGCAAAUCCGCUUUGAUAAUGCUGGGAUGUGAUGGGGAGCGAAAUUUAGUAGCGAAGUAGCUGAUUUCACACUGUCAAGAAAAGUCUCUAUCGAGGUUAAAGGUACCCGUACCGCAAACCGACACAGGUGGGUGAGGAGAGUAUCCUAAGGCCAGCGAGAGAACUGUUGUUAAGGAACUCGGCAAAAUGACCCCGUAACUUAGGGAUAAGGGGUGCCACCAUCAGGUGGCCGCAGAGAAUAGGCCCAAGCGACUGUUUACCAAAAACAUAGGUUUCUGCUAAGUCGCAAGACGAUGUAUAGGAGCUGACGCCUGCCCGGUGCUGGAAGGUUAAGGGGAUCUGUUAGAGCAAUCGAAGCAGUGAACUUAAGCCCCAGUAAACGGCGGCCGUAACUAUAACGGUCCUAAGGUAGCGAAAUUCCUUGUCGGGUAAGUUCCGACCCGCACGAAAGGCGUAACGAUUUGGGCACUGUCUCAACAACAGACUCGGUGAAAUUGUAAUUCCGGUGAAGAUGCCGGAUACCUGCGACAGGACGGAAAGACCCCAUGGAGCUUUACUGUAGCUUGACAUUGGGUCUUGGUACUACAUGUACAGGAUAGGUGGGAGGCUUUGAAACCAGGACGCCAGUUUUGGCGGAGCCAUCCUUGGGAUACCACCCUUGUAGUACUGGGACUCUAACCAUAGGCCAUGAAUCUGGUCUUGGGACACUGUCAGGUGGGCAGUUUGACUGGGGCGGUCGCCUCCCAAAAGGUAACGGAGGCGCUCAAAGGUUCUCUCAGUACGGUCGGAAAUCGUACGUAGAGUGUAAAGGCAAAAGAGAGCUUGAUUGCAAGACAUACAGGUCGAGCAAGGAUGAAAAUCGGACUUAGUGAUCCGGUGGUUCUGCGUGGAAGGGCCAUCGCUCAACGGAUAAAAGCUACCCUGGGGAUAACAGGCUUAUCUCCCCCAAGAGUCCACAUCGACGGGGAGGUUUGGCACCUCGAUGUCGGCUCAUCACAUCCUGGGGCUGUAGUAGGUCCCAAGGGUUGGGCUGUUCGCCCAUUAAAGUGGUACGCGAGCUGGGUUCAGAACGUCGUGAGACAGUUCGGUCCCUAUCCGUCGCAGGCGUAGGAAAUUUGAGAAGACCUGUCCUUAGUACGAGAGGACCGGGAUGGACGUACCUCUGGUGUACCAGUUGUUCUGCCAAGGGCAUGGCUGGGUAGCUAUGUACGGAAUGGAUAAGCGCUGAAAGCAUCUAAGCGCGAAGCCAACUUCAAGAUAAGAUUUCCCACCGCAAGGGUAAGACCCCAGAAAGACUAUCUGGUUGAUAGGUCGAAGGUGUAAGUGCAGCAAUGUAUUUAGCUUAUCGAUACUAAUAGGUCGAGGACUUGACC